rnacentral:snRNA from 1 species
GACUGAUUUAGUCAACCC